AGUCCAUGGUGUGGACAAAGUCUCAUCAUGUCCUUGUAUCUCUCUCAAGCGUCGAAAAGAGAUUCAUUAUCUUUCUGCCUAAAUUUGUUGAUUUGGGCUCUUAGCAU